GGUGUUGUAGCUCAAUUGGUAGAGGGCGUUAAUCUAAACAUGAUAAAAGUAUGGGGUUCAACUCCUUGCAUCUCCA
rnacentral:tRNA from 1 species